AUCCAGAUGACGAUUCUUAAAUAGGAAGAAACGUGCGUCCUGGAA
rnacentral:hammerhead_ribozyme from 1 species